rnacentral:rRNA from 1 species
UUUAAAUGGCCGCAGUACCUUGACUGUGCUAAGGUAGCAUAAUCAAUUGGCUUCUAAUUAAAGUCUGGAAUGAAAGGAAAUAUGAAGUAAUUCUAUCUUAAAGGAUUUUUUUUGAAUUUAUUUAAAUGAUGAAAAUAUCAUUUUAUAGAAAAAAGACGAGAAGACCCUUAGAGUUUUGAUAUUUAUAUAUUUUUGUUGGGGCGACAGGUAAACAUAUAACUUUACGAAAUUGAUCGAUUAUUUAUAAGAAUAAUAAAACUACCUUAGGGAUAACAGCAUUAUAUUUUUUUAUGAUUGUGACCUC